rnacentral:rRNA from 1 species
GACGAACGCUGGCGGCGUGCUUAACACAUGCAAGUCGAACGGUAAGGCCCUUCGGGGUACACGAGUGGCGAACGGGUGAGUAACACGUGGGUGAUCUGCCCUGCACUUCGGGAUAAGCCUGGGAAACUGGGUCUAAUACCGGAUAGGACCAUUGCCUGCAUGGGUGGUGGUGGAAAGCUUUUGCGGUGUGGGCGGGGCCCGCGGCCUAGCAGCUUGGUGGUGGGGUGAUGGCCUACCAAGGCGACGAUGGGUAGCCGGCCUGGGAGGGUGACCGGCCACACUUGGACUGAGGUGCGGCCCAGACGCCUUCGGGAGGCAGCAGUGGGGAAUAUUGCACAAUGGGCGCAAGCCUGAUGCAGCGACGCCGCGUGAGGGAUGACGGCCUUCGGGUUGUAAACCUCUUUCAGCACCGACGAAGCGCAAGUGACGGUAGGUGCAGAAGAAGGACCGGCCAACUACGUGCCAGCCGCCGCGGUAA